rnacentral:rRNA from 1 species
UACGGGGGGAGCAAGCGUUGUUCGGAUUUACUGGGCGUAAAGGGCGCGUAGGCGGCCAGUGCAAGUCACUUGUGAAAUCUCCGGGCUUAACUCGGAACGGUCAAGUGAUACUGUCGCGCUAGAGUGCGGAAGGGGCAAUCAGAAUUCUUGGUGUAGCGGUGAAAUGCGUAGAUAUCAAGAGGAAUACCUGAGGUGAAGACGGGUUGCUAGGCCGACACUGACGCUGAAGCGCGAAAGCCAGGGGAGCAAACGGG